AGCCCAGAGCCUGAAUCAGUGUGUGUGUUAGUGGAAGCGUCUGGAAAGGCGCGCGAUACAGGGUGACAGCCCCGUACACAAAAAUGCACAUGCUGUGAGCUCGAUGAGUAGGGCGGGACACGUGGUAUCCUGUCUGAAUAUGGGGGGACCAUCCUCCAAGGCUAAAUACUCCUGACUGACCGAUAGUGAACCAGUACCGUGAGGGAAAGGCGAAAAGAACCCCGGCGAGGGGAGUGAAAAAGAACCUGAAACCGUGUACGUACAAGCAGUGGGAGCCUCUUAAUGGGGUGACUGCGUACCUUUUGUAUAAUGGGUCAGCGACUUAUAUUCUGUAGCAAGGUUAACCGAAUAGGGGAGCCGAAGGGAAACCGAGUCUUAACUGGGCGUUAAGUUGCAGGGUAUAGACCCGAAACCCGGUGAUCUAGCCAUGGGCAGGUUGAAGGUUGGGUAACACUAACUGGAGGACCGAACCGACUAAUGUUGAAAAAUUAGCGGAUGACUUGUGGCUGGGGGUGAAAGGCCAAUCAAACCGGGAGAUAGCUGGUUCUCCCCGAAAGCUAUUUAGGUAGCGCCUCGUGAAUUCAUCUCCGGGGGUAGAGCACUGUUUCGGCAAGG
rnacentral:rRNA from 1 species